CAAUGUGCAUUCUCCCAGAAGGCUUGAACCCAUAAUAGCAAAUGUUUUUUGAAGAGAAUAUUGAAGAGCUCAUCUUUGAAUGCACUCUUCUCCAACACUCCUCAAGAUCUGAAAUCUCUCUUCUAGAGUCAUCCUCAAUCCCAAGAACCAAAAAUAUGGUCAACAUAAAACUACCAAUCAAACAAAUAGAUAACAGUUUGAGAGAGGGAAAGAAUGAUUAAUGGGAAGAGGAGGAGGAGGAAACAGAGUUGGAAGUAGAAUUAGAAUUCAAAUUUGAAUUGGAGGAGUUGGCGGAGAGCAUCUGUUGCAUUGGUGCUCCUGCUUCUCCUUCUCCUCCUCUGUUGACGUACUUGCAGCUAAGGAAGCUGCUGCAGUGGCGCUAUAUGGCUAAAAUGGCAAUGACAUUCUUCUUAAUAAGAGACAAAUGUGGUUUUUCUGUUUUGGUACCAAAUUGCUAAUAAAAAAAAGGUAAAAAAAUAAAAUUAAAAUCUUUUAUUUUGAGGUGGAGAUUGCAGAAUUACUGAAGGAGCUAAGAUGGCUUGCUGGAAGAUUUAUGGAGGAGGAUUUUCUUGGGCAAAAUUGGAGAGAUUGAGGAUUGUGUGGGAAAGUGAUUUGGAGUCUGGGAAUUAAUUUUCUCUGUUAAUGGCACAUGUGAUUUAUCUAAUGCUGUUAACAAUUGGGGUUAAUUGCUUUUUUCCACAUAGAUAGAUGGCUUAACUGAUCUCAAUUAAAAUCAGGGACUGAAGCUUAUUCCCUGCUAUAGUUGAGGGGCUAAAUUGAGCUUUUGGCCUCAAUUUUAUUAUGUUAUUCAUGUAUUUCCCAAGUCAAAAAAUGACCCAAAGAAAAAUCUUAAAAAUUCAUUCUAUCACCAUUUUCAUCGUGGGAUGUGCUAUGCUGAUUCUAUUGAUGAUUCAUUUUAGGUAAUCUUUGAACAUGAAAAUUGAAAUUUGGAAAUUUAUAUGAUCAAUUUUCCUCCAGAGCUCCUAUGUUUUGCUAAUGCUUUGUUAGGGCUAUAUUAAAGUUUAUUGCUUUAAUUUAUUUUGUCUUAUUUCCUAUCUUCCUGUUACAGACAAAUGGUGAGAAGCAAUGCCAGUUUCUUGUAGAUUACAUGGAAAAUAAUAAUCCUGGCAAAUUUUGCAAUGUGAACAUAGUAUCCGAUUUUGCUGGUAUCCAACGGUUUGUAACAGGUUUCACCAAUGAUAAAUGUCACUGAUAAAUGCCUCUCUACAUUGGAUACUGGAAAUAGGAGAAGAAAAAGAUAAGGUCUGUGUUCCCUGUCUGUUAUAAAUUUUAGUAAAAAUUUAUGAUGUUUAGUUAUUCUUUUGUUUGUUGUUUUACUAAUCUGAAAUGGAAAUCUUCUCCUUCAAUUCAAUUCAUCUUCCUUGCUUAUUAAACCUAGCU
rnacentral:misc_RNA from 1 species